UGAAGAUGAUAGCUUUUAUGGCAUUGCUCUAAGCUCAUUUUAACUAAAUGUAUGGAUUUGACAGGAAAACAAGACUUUGGCACACCAUCAGAGAAAGACGAAGAAGUCUACAGGAAGUGAAAUUAAGGAGACACGGGCCACUGAGCGUCCCCUCCCAGUACAAGGUGCGAGACCAAAAACAGCUGUCCGCAACAAGAAGCUGUGAACAUCGAGAUCAGAUUCACCUUAAGACAACAGAAAGAGAAGAGGAGAAAUGAUCAUAUAGUGUCUGAAGAGAUUGGAGAAAAGUUAAGACCAACAAAGGAGCAACAUAUGAAAGAAGUUGAAGUAAAACAACAACUUGAACAGACUCUGAGAACACAAGAUGUGGAAUUGAUGGCUCUAAGAAAGAAAUUGAAUGAGAUAAAUCAAUCUUU